AGUCGUUCAUUCGGAUAUCCAAUAAAGUUGGAACAAAGAAGAUUAGUAUGACUUUUGUUCAAAAAUGACAUACACAAAUUGAGAAAUGGUUCAAUUUUUU